UGCCAGCCGCCGCGGUAAUACGUAGGGAGCGAGCGUUAUCCGGAAUUAUUGGGCGUAAAGUGUGCGUAGGCGGUUUAUUAAGUCAAAUUUGAAAGCCCACAGCUUAACUGUGGAGGGUGAUUUGAAACUGGUAAACUUGAGUACGGCAGAGGUUAGUGGAAUUCAAUGUGUAGCGGUGGAAUGCGUAGAUAUAUUGAGGAACACCAGUGGCGAAGGCGGCUAACUGGACCGGAACUGACGCUGAGGCGCGCAAGCGUGGGGAGCAAACAGGAUUAGAUA
rnacentral:rRNA from 1 species